rnacentral:lncRNA from 1 species
CUUAAGCAUAAUUAGCCAACUAAUCCAGGAUUAGUGAGAUUACUCACCAAAUCGCACGCAAAUCGGAUCAAUCCGACGGCGGCGACGCGAGGAACGAUUGUUCCCAAAGCGACUCACGGAUCCGAGGCCCGGAAACGGCCCAAAACGGGCCCGAACCAGCUGGAAACCCAUUUCGUGGGUUUCUGCCCUUGGCUGGUCGGAGCAGAUCCGGCGGCCAAAACGGCGAGGGAAGGCCGGCGGAGGACGAGGGAAACGCCGGGGAGGUCCGGCGGAGCUGGACGGUGGCCGGAGGUGGCCGGACGGUGGCUGGUCGGAGCUGGAACAGGAGCGAACAGCGACUGGUUCGCGCGGCCUGGGCGUGCGCGGACGGCGGAACGGCGGCGAGCGCGCGGGCGGCGGUGCAGCGGUGCGGCGGCGGGACGAGCGGCUGCUGUCUUCGUCUGGCGGUGAUGCUCGCUGCUUCUGAUCUUCUUCGGCUUCUGGUUCGCACACGAAGAAAGAAGAAGAAGAAGCUGGUUCUAUCGUGAGGGGGAAGAAAGAAGAGAGAGGAGAGAGAAGAGAGAAGAUAAGCUCGGACUAGUCAAAGGGAAGAGAGAGAAAAGGUGGGCGGUGGGGGCAAUUCGCACGAGGGGGAGGGGAGAGGAGAGAGAGAGAAAAAGAGAGAAAAAGGGAGAGAGAGAAAAAGAAAUAAAUAAUAUCAUUAUUCCACUUUUCCUUUUCUCUUUCCCUUUCCCUUUCUAUUUUCUUUUGGUCUUCAAUUUUUCUUCCGAUAAUUUCUUUCUUGAAAUUUCGGACUCGUCAAUAAAUUGAUAGACGAUGAGACGGUCCUAAAAAUGAAUUGUGACACGCUCGAAUAUUCGAUUCCCGAAACCAAUUUAAAUUUCAUGGUUAGAAUCAAUCAAACGCGAUUUUAGUCCAAUCCAACCAAUUGAGUAGCUUUUAGGGAUUUUACCGCGGAUACAUCCCUUAACGGCUUCACCCAAUAGGUUAGUUAACUCGUGAGUGAUCAGCUCAGAGAAAAAGGACCAUAAGCACGCCGACGAUAUGCACAUUUCACUUUAUCGAAAUGGGGUCGAAUUUCAGGAUGUCACAACUCUUCCCCUCUUAUAAAAAUUUCGUCCUCGAAAUUUAAACCCUUACACACUUUGCUCAAAAAGGCGGGGGUAUAAUUGUCUCAUCGACUCUUCAGUCUCCCAAGUCGCUCCUUCAAUACUGUGGUGUUGCCAGACCACUUUGACCAACGGAAUGGUCUUUGUACGCAGAACUUGCUCUUUGCGAUCGACAAUCUGAGCCGGGCUUUCCACGUAUGACACACGGUCAUCCACGUCCAAUUCCUCAAAAUUGAGCACGUGGGUCGGGUCAGGCUCGUACUUCCUUAACCUCGACACGUGAUAGACGUCAUGCACUUGCGCCAAACUUGGCGGCAACGCAAGACGAUACGCUAGGUUUUCGAUUCUUUCAAGAAUCUCAAAUGGACCUAUGUACCUCGGACUCAACUUGCCUUUCUUACCAAAGCGCGAAGUUCCCCUCAUUGGUGACACUUUCAGAAAAACGUGAUCACCAACUUGGAAUUCCAAAGACCUUCGACGCUUAUCUGCAUAACUUUUCUGCCUGCUCUGCGCUGUCUUUAAUCUGUCUCUGAUCACUGCCACGGCAUCUACCGAUUGCUGAACCAACUCUGGGCCUGUUAUCUUUCUUUCUCCGACUUCCUCCCAACACACUGGAGUUCUGCAUACUCUGCCAUACAACGCUUCAAAUGGAGCCAUCUUGAUGCUCUGCUGAUAACUGUUGUUGUAGGCGAAUUCCACCAGAGGAAGCCGAUCUUCCCAAUUUUCUUUGAAGUCUUAUAACACACGCUCUCAGCAUGUCUUCAAGAGUCUGAAUUGUCCUUUCAGACUGGCCAUCCGUCUGAGGAUGAUACGCCGUACUGUACUGAAGCUUUGUACCUAAAGCACUCUGCAAGCUCUUCCAAAAAGCAGCAAUAAACCUCGGGUCUCUAUCAACGUUAUCGUAAUCGACACUCCAUGCAUACGAACCACCUGACGCACAUACAGGUCUGCGUGUCUAUCCAGAUUCAGGUCCUUUCGAACUGCAAUGAAGUGAGCCGACUUUGUCAGCCUGUCGACUACUACCCAAAUCGAAUCAGUCCCCCUUUGACUCCUUGGUAGUCCAGUCACGAAGUCCAUCGUGAUAUGUUCCCAUUUCCACUCUGGGAUCGCGAGAGGUUGCAGAAGUCCUCCCGGCUUGCAAUGCUGGGCUUUUACUUGCUAACAAGUCAAACACUUGGCCACAUGCUUGGCGAUGUCCGCCUUCAUACCUGACCACCAGUAGUGUUGACGCAAAUUCUGAUACAUCUUAGUACUUCCAGGAUGAACGCUAUAAUUGCUACGAUGUGCUUCAGAUAAAAUUUCUUCUCUAAGCUCUACAUCGUCAGGUACAACCAAACGUCCACGAAGCCUCAGUACCCCAUCAUCAGAAACUUGAAAUUCAGCCUUUCUUUUAUCGAUAUCCUCUUGAAGAAUUCUCUGUACAUCUGGAUCUGUCGGUUGGAGUUCUUUAAUUCUGACUUGGACAUCCGGUUCAAUUCUGAGGGUGGCCAUAAAACUUGAAAGGUGGCCUACCUCAAAUUUGAAUUCCGAAUCCCGAGCUCUCUCGAUUAAGUUCCACUCCUUAACCAAGAUUUGUGCUAUUGAAGACUUCCGACUCAAUGCAUCGGCGACCUUGUUCGCCUUUCCCGGGUGAUAUAAAAUAUCACAGUCGUAGUCUUUCAGCAAUUCCAUUCAUCGGCGCUGUCUCAUAUUCAACUCUUUCUGAGAGAACAAAUACUUGAGACUCUGGUGGUCCGUGAAGAUCUGAAACUUUUCCCCACACAAGUAGUGCCUCCAAAUCUUCAACGCAAAUAUGAUGGCUGCGAGUUCUAAGUCAUGCGUUGGGUAAUUCAAUUCAUGAGGUCUCAACUGCCGGGAAGCGUAUGCAACGACUCUGCCAUGUUGCAUCAGCACGCAACCCAAUCCCCUAAAUGACGCAUCACUAUAGAUCUUGAAUCCUCCAGGACCAGAUGGAAUCGUCAGCACAGGUGCGGUAGUCAGCUUUUCCUUCAGCUCUUGGAAACUACGCUCGCACUUGUCUGACCAUACAAAUUUCUCUUCUUUCUUCAGGAGCUUUGUCAGAGGUGACGCUAACGCUGAGAAACCUUCUACAAACCGUUUGUAGUAACCUGCUAACCCCAGAAAACUUCUAAUCUCUGACACUGAUAUCGGUCUCUGCCAAUUGAUCACGGCUUCUAUCUUGCUCGGGUCGACGGAGAUUCCUUCUCCGGAAAUCACAUGACCUAAGAACGCAACACGAGUUAACCAAAACUCGCAUUUGCUAAACUUAGCAUACAGCUGGUGAGCUCUUAAGGUCUGAAGCACUAAUCUCAGAUGAUACUCAUGCUCUUCAUUACUUCUCAAAUAGACUAAGAUGUCAUCAAUGAACACGAUCACAAACUAAUGAUCCACAUAUUCCUUGAACGUUCUAUUUGUCAAAUCCAUGACAGGAACUGGAGUGUUCACCAGGCCAAACGAUCUUACAAUAUUCUCGUAAAGACCAUAUCAAGUACGAGCAAUUGUCUUUCGUACAACCUCCUUUCUGGUUCAUAACUGACGACUUCAUAAUCUCAAGUCGACCUUUAAAACAUCGAUACUCUUUAUAACUAGUCACACCAUUCAUGGAUCUUUGGCAAAGAACACUUGUCCUUGAUCUUCACCUAAUUGAGUUGACGAUAGUUGAUACACACUCGCAAUAAACCAUCUUUCUUCUUCUCACAAACAAAACUGAUGUUUCCCAAAAGUGAUGCAAUGAUAUACACGAAUUCCUCAUUCAUCAAUCUUCACAUCUGCAUCUUUAAUUCUACCACUUCAGACAACAACAGCUGGUAAGAAGCCUUCGAGAAUGGCUCUAUCUUGGUGCUAGCUCAAUUGCAAUUUCAAUCUCUCUUUCUGGCGGUAACCCAAGCAAUUCCUUUGGAACCAUCUUAGAAAUUUUCUGUAUCACGGCCACCUUCUUCUCAUUCUAUUUCUCAACUGACACAUCCACUACAGCUGUCAAAUCAAUCUUGGCAAUCUCUGUCUAACAAACGGAUUGUCUUUAGCCAACGAGAUUAAUGAAAUCAAAAUUCUUUUCGACUCCCAAUAACCUCGACACUUUAACAUGCUAAUGGAUUAAACUGGAUUAUUCCAUGACCAAGAUUCAUUAUCACAAGAUGCUUCAUAAGCCCACACUAUUCAUGUGGCGUCAAACUCAUACCUCAGCAACUAGUCAAGCACAACUGUUGCUAAUGAUUCAUUCUCUUUCACUUUUACGUCAACAAUUUAAGUUCUACCAACUCAGCACAAAACUUUGCUACGCUGCUCUGAUAAAAUUACUUCCAGCACAUUCUUUCUCCAAUCGGUGCAAGAUCAAUUCUACUCCCAUUCCUUUCGCCAUCCUAGUGGCGUUCUGCCGCAGUAGCGAUGCCUAUGCUACCUUGGACUUCCAUUGACAAUCCUUCACCUGAUGGCCAUGCUAGUCAUCAUCACAACAGGUUCUCGUCAUACUCGGACACUGGAUUUAUCCAUACUUCCUUCUACAAUUCUGACAUCUAUCUGGUGCAUCUUCUAUCUUCUACUAGGCGAAAGCAUGCACUCUUUCUGGUUGCCUCAUCAUUCUGCUAGGACCACUCUCGACCAGAUAUCCCUGCUGGCUAUACUCCAAACAAUUUCGCGUCCUAGGAAGGACAUAAGACCGAUCUCCAUUAUCACAUCCAGAAACAACCUGAUCUAUUUGACUCGGUGCCGACUUGACUACUCCAUCCUUCCUCGUGAGUGGAAUAGAAUACUUUUCUCUCAACCUCGGUCUUUUCCCUGACCGACUUCCAUUUCUGCCUGAACUGGAUCUAUACCUCGACUCGAAUGCAAUGACUCGCUCUCGGAUCACGUCUCCACUCUGGAUCUCAGCAUGUGAGGUGACAACGGCGGCUUGAUCCUGAGCUUGCUGGCUCAUCCAGUUCCUAAGGAACACUGGCAUCAGAAUGAUCCUAUCAAACUUAGGAUCAUUCGACGCUGCUACACUAGUACCAACCUGCGGUGGUACUCUUACACUCGAGCUGGCCAGAGCCAACACUCUGCCACAACCACCUCGGGUACCGACCUUUGUCAGUGCAUUAUCCCGAGUCACAGAGGACAUUGCCCUCUCACUAGGAGUUCUCAGCUCCUGCUCGCUCAUGGUUCAGUCUUACACUGCAACCCGUCUUCCAAAUCCACACUGGAUUAGAAGAUGAGCGAUCCCCACACAACAAACAAUUCUAGCACUCAGCUAACACAGACAUGCAUCGGCAUGAAUUUAAAGGCCUUUCCUACUAACUAUCCCAUGGUCAACGCUCCUUAUCACUCCAAUCUUCAACUUCGCUCUGAUACCACUUAAACUGGAUGUCACGCCCCGAUCCUCGGGCACGCACACAUCCUUCUCACUUAGUCGAUUUUAUAAUGCGAUAUCCCAGGACUAGUAUCGCCGACCCUUUCAUUUAUUAAGCACAUGCGGAAGCAGUUAAAAUCCCCAGACAAUAAAACGAUGGGAUAGAAAAGCAGGGCCAUAUUUUUCAUACUGAAAUUUAUAACCAAACUUUUAUACAAAACACAAAUUACUUCAUAACUAUUCACAUCAAAAAGGAGAUCUCAAAUAAGAUAGGAUCUCAAUCCAUCCAGACCGUACUCAAGGCCCCUCUCGGGACUAUCUUCUUCUUCCAAAAAUCCUUCUCUUCAUAUCUCACCUCCGAGUUCUCCUCCUCGGAUUCCUCCUCCUCAGCUCUUCAGCGGGGUCCUAAAAUGGUUUUCCCCAAACUGGGAUGAGACUACGUCUCAGCGAGUUCUACCCCACUAAGCCCGAUUAGUAAACUAUUAUACUAAAGGCUGCCUAAACACGCACAGGGCAGAUGACUUACCUUGGCCUCUGAUCCCACCUGCAAGUCAGUACAAUUCAUAAUAGGCACCCAAGCAAUCAUAUCACCGAUCGAAACAUCGAUCAAAUCGACCUAGUCGAUUAUAUUCCAACAAGACCACUCACGGUCAUUUCCAUUCAGUCAAUCAAUUCACAACCUCAAAUCAAAGCAUCGACCUAGUCGAUUACAUGCCAAACAAAUCAAUCCCCACUGUGGGAUAUUUAAAAGCUAGGCCACGUGCAUUCUCCAGGAUGACCUUCCAAGUCUCCGGGUCACGUGCCUCAAACCUCGGACCCACGUGCAUUCUCUAAGGCGACCUCUUCGCCAAGGUGGUACAUCAAGUCACCGAGCCACGUGUCCUUUUUACGAUGCCCGGGCCCACGUGCAUUCUCUAAGGUGCUAUCUCACCAAGGUGAUGCAUCAAUUCACCGAGCCACGUGCCCUUUUAGAUGCCAUUCCGGAAUGCUGGACCCACGUGCAUUCUCUAAGGUACUCGCUUACCAAAGUGACGCAUCAGAUCACCGAGCCACGUGUCCUUUUAGAUGCCAAAUCCUGUCACCGAGCCACGUGCAUUCUCCAGGACGACAUACCGAGUCUCCGAGCCACGUGCAUUCUCUCAGGCGACCUUUUCGCCAAGGUGACAUAUUCAACCACUGAACUCACGUGCAUUUUCCAGGUGACAUUCCAAUUCACCGAGCCACGUGUCCUCUUUGCAGUGGUUACCAAUUCACUUUCAAUAUCGACAACCAAUGCCCAACGAUUUCUCAAUCAAAUAAUUAAAUCAAGUCAACAAAGCAUUAUAAAUGCUGAAUAAACAUACUUGGCCAUUCACCAAUCAAUACUCAAUCAAAUAAUUAAAUUAACUCAACAAAGCAUUAUAAAUGCUGAAUAAACAUACUUGGCCAUUCACCAAUCGAUAAUUCAAUCUCAAUCGAUUCCAAUCAAUUUAGGGUAAAUCCCUAAAAUAUCACAAUUUAUUCAAUUCCAUACAACGUGGAGCUCAAAUAAAUAAACGGACUGCGCCACGACAAUCAGCACGAGAUUUCGGUCGUCGGCCAUCAACAUCUUAAUUUCUGAAAAAUAAUUAAUUAAAUAAUUAAUUUCGAAAAUUAAAUAAUUAAUAUUAAAAAUUCAAUUUAGCUCAAAAUAAAGCCCGAUUAACUAAACGGACUUCACCACGGUCAUCAGCACAAUAUUCCGGUCCCGGGCCAUCUCAGUUGAAUUUUCGGAAAAUAAAUAAUUAUUUAAUUUAAUUCCGAAAAUUAUUAUUUAAAUACUAAAAAAUCCACUUAGGCCCGAAAAGCCUAAUUGGAGCCCACUAAGGGUCGGGAAAAAUCCCGAGGCACUUCCAAUAAUUAGUAGACCACGUCUACUUGUUAAUUGCACAACCAAUUUAUCUAAAUCACAUCACAAUUGACUAAUAAUUGCUAAUUUAUUCUAAUCUAACAACCUAAACAUAAUUAAUUAAAUCUAAACCAACCUUAAGCAUAAUUAGCCAACUAAUCCAGGAUUAGUGAGAUUACUCACCAAAUCGCACGCAAAUCGGAUCAAUCCGACGGCGGCGACGCGAGGAACGAUUGUUCCCAAAGCGACUCACGGAUCCGAGGCCCGGAAACGGCCCAAAACGGGCCCGAACCAGCUGGAAACCCAUUUCGUGGGUUUCUGCCCUUGGCUGGUCGGAGCAGAUCCGGCGGCCAAAACGGCGAGGGAAGGCCGGCGGAGGACGAGGGAAACGCCGGGGAGGUCCGGCGGAGCUGGACGGUGGCCGGAGGUGGCCGGACGGUGGCUGGUCGGAGCUGGAACAGGAGCGAACAGCGACUGGUUCGCGCGGCCUGGGCGUGCGCGGACGGCGGAACGGCGGCGAGCGCGCGGGCGGCGGUGCAGCGGUGCGGCGGCGGGACGAGCGGCUGCUGUCUUCGUCUGGCGGUGAUGCUCGCUGCUUCUGAUCUUCUUCGGCUUCUGGUUCGCACACGAAGAAAGAAGAAGAAGAAGCUGGUUCUAUCGUGAGGGGGAAGAAAGAAGAGAGAGGAGAGAGAAGAGAGAAGAUAAGCUCGGACUAGUCAAAGGGAAGAGAGAGAAAAGGUGGGCGGUGGGGGCAAUUCGCACGAGGGGGAGGGGAGAGGAGAGAGAGAGAAAAAGAGAGAAAAAGGGAGAGAGAGAAAAAGAAAUAAAUAAUAUCA